CUACCUCAUCCAAUCCGAAGAGAGACAUGAAGCCGAGUAAGCAAUCCCAGAGAAAAGCCAAAAGCGGCCGCUCUCCGCCGCCACGAGGCCGCGCCGCCGCCUUCCCCCCAGACCCGACUCCUUCCGUCCUCGCUCCCUCGUCCUCUGCCGUCUUCCGGGACCUCCAGACCGCACAAGACGACGCCUUAUUCGAGAACCUCGAAGUCUCGUUCCCCGGCGGCACCACCGCCCCGAGCCCCAGCUCGAAUCCUCGGAGCUUCCCGUACAGCGUCAAGCAGCAGUGCUGGGAGAAGGCGGAGAAGGUCAAAGGGCGGGACCCGGAGCGGUGGCGCCGGGACGCGCUCGGGAACAUCGUGUUCCGCAAGCUCGUGGGCUGCUCCGGCUGCCUCUGCCACGAUUACGACCACAUUGUACCGUACUCCAAGGGCGGACAGAGCACAUUGGAGAACUGUCAGGUUUUACAGUUGUGUUCUAUAAGAGGGAGAUCGGUGAAGCGAUUGAGCUGGAAGGAAGAAGAGCUGCUAGGAAGGCAUGGGCGGAGGAGCAAGGAGUAGGAAGAUACAAUAGGAAUUGUGUUGCUGUUGUUGUAAGGGAAAGAGGAAGCUACUGAUGGGCAUGGGCAGAGGGAGGUGCUGGAAACAGUGAUGUGCUCAAGGGAGCUACUUGGGGCUGUUAUUGGAAAUAGAUGAGUCGGGUUUACGGAGGCGAUAGAGAUACAACAGGUCACCAGAGAAGAGGAAGCCAUUGAUGGGCACGGGCAGAGGAGGUGUUGGAAAUGGUGAUGUUAUCAUGAAAUGGAGGAGUCGGGUUGAGGGAGGUGAUAGAGGUAUAUGUCACGGCGGUGACUGGGGAGCUCACCUGAGGUGUUGGAUUUUGUUGGGGGGGGAGGGCUAGCUACUGCAAUAAACAGGUCGUGUUUCCAAGAGGGAGGAGAGACGAAGGAGUUGAGACAUUCGUGCUCCUGCUGUCUCCGUCAUGAAGAAGCUUCUGUGAACUUUCGCGAGACAACUAAGAGGCUGGUGGUUGACAAGAGGAAGAUAGGUGCGGCCGGCGAAGAUAAGGCUAAAGCAAUUGCAUAUCGUUGUUGUUGCUCUCUCAGGUGAGGGAAGGAGAUAAGAGGAUGGAAUUGCGAAGGAGGAGCAGUAGUGGUGGCCCAUGAGCUGUUGACAUGAGCUCACGAAGCUCGCACAUGGAGGAAAGGGUUGAGCUCAGUAGAGACGGGAGAAGCUUUCUGGAAUGGGCAAUCGAUAGUGGCAACAGUUAACCGAUCAAAAGGAAAUCAAACGGACAUAUCAAGAGCAGAACUCAUCCGCAGAAGCUCUUAUUGCCGUGUUUCAG